rnacentral:rRNA from 1 species
UCCGCAGGCGGGCCAGUAAGUCAGGGGUGAAAGUUUGCGGCUUAACCGUAAAAUUGCCUUUGAUACUGCUGGUCUUGAGUUGCGGUGAAGUGGCUGGAAUAUGUGGUGUAGCGGUGAAAUGCAUAGAUAUCACAUAGAACACCGAUUGCGAAGGCAGGUCACUAACCGCCGACUGACGCUGAUGGACGAAAGCGUGGGGAGCGAACG